CCUACGGGAGGCAGCAGUGAGGAAUAUUGGUCAAUGGGCGCGAGCCUGAACCAGCCAAGUAGCGUGAAGGAUGACUGCCCUACGGGUUGUAAACUUCUUUUAUAAAGGAAUAAAGUGAGGCACGUGUGCCGUUUUGUAUGUACUUUAUGAAUAAGGAUCGGCUAACUCCGUGCCAGCAGCCGCGGUAAUACGGAGGAUCCGAGCGUUAUCCGGAUUUAUUGGGGUUAAAGGGAGCGUAGAGGGGUUGUUAAGUCAGUUGUGAAAGUUUGCGGCUCAACCGUAAAAUUGCAAUUGAUACUGGCAGUCUUGCUUACAGUUGAGGUAGGCGGACUUCGUGGUGUAGCGGUGCACUGCUUCGAUAUCAC
rnacentral:rRNA from 1 species